UAACGAUAAAGCGGGUGAAAAGCCCGCUCGCCGGAAGACCAAGGGUUCCUGUCCAACGUUAAUCGGGGCAGGGUGAGUCGACCCCUAAGGCGAGGCCGAAAGGCGUAGUCGAUGGGAAACAGGUUAAUAUUCCUGUACUUGGUGUUACUGCGAAGGGGGGACGGAGAAGGCUAUGUUAGCCGGGCGACGGUUGUCCCGGUUUAAGCAUGUAGGCGGAGGUUCCAGGUAAAUCCGGUUCCUUGUUAACGCUGAGGUGUGAUGACGAGGCACUACGGUGCUGAAGUAACAAAUGCCCUGCUUCCAGGAAAAGCCUCUAAGCAUCAGGUAACACGAAAUCGUACCCCAAACCGACACAGGUGGUCAGGUAGAGAAUACCAAGGCGCUUGAGAGAACUCGGGUGAAGGAACUAGGCAAAAUGGUGCCGUAACUUCGGGAGAAGGCACGCUGAUAUGUAGGUGAAGUCCCUGCGGAUGGAGCUGAAAUCAGUCGAAGAUACCAGCUGGCUGCAACUGUUUAUUAAAAACACAGCACUGUGCAAACACGAAAGUGGACGUAUACGGUGUGACGCCUGCCCGGUGCCGGAAGGUUAAUUGAUGGGGUUAGCGGUAACGCGAAGCUCUUGAUCGAAGCCCCGGUAAACGGCGGCCGUAACUAUAACGGUCCUAAGGUAGCGAAAUUCCUUGUCGGGUAAGUUCCGACCUGCACGAAUGGCGUAAUGAUGGCCAGGCUGUCUCCACCCGAGACUCAGUGAAAUUGAACUCGCUGUGAAGAUGCAGUGUACCCGCGGCAAGACGGAAAGACCCCGUGAACCUUUACUAUAGCUUGACACUGAACACUGGUCCUUGAUGUGUAGGAUAGGUGGGAGGCUUUGAAGCGUGGACGCCAGUCUGCGUGGAGCCAACCUUGAAAUACCACCCUUUAAUGGCUGGUGUUCUAACGUAGACCCGUGAUCCGGGUUGCGGACAGUGUCUGGUGGGUAGUUUGACUGGGGCGGUCUCCUCCCAAAGAGUAACGGAGGAGCACGAAGGUUAGCUAAUCCUGGUCGGACAUCAGGAGGUUAGUGCAAUGGCAUAAGCUAGCUUGACUGCGAGAGUGACGGCUCGAGCAGGUGCGAAAGCAGGUCAUAGUGAUCCGGUGGUUCUGAAUGGAAGGGCCAUCGCUCAACGGAUAAAAGGUACUCCGGGGAUAACAGGCUGAUACCGCCCAAGAGUUCAUAUCGACGGCGGUGUUUGGCACCUCGAUGUCGGCUCAUCACAUCCUGGGGCUGAAGUAGGUCCCAAGGGUAUGGCUGUUCGCCAUUUAAAGUGGUACGCGAGCUGGGUUUAGAACGUCGUGAGACAGUUCGGUCCCUAUCUGCCGUGGGCGCUGGAGAAUUGAGGGGGGCUGCUCCUAGUACGAGAGGACCGGAGUGGACGCAUCACUGGUGUUCGGGUUGUCAUGCCAAUGGCACUGCCCGGUAGCUAAAUGCGGAAGAGAUAAGUGCUGAAAGCAUCUAAGCACGAAACUUGCCCCGAGAUGAGUUCUCCCUGAGACUUUAAGUCUCCUGAAGGAACGUUGAAGACUACGACGUUGAUAGGUCGGGUGUGUAAGCGCAGCGAUGCGUUGAGCUAACCGAUACUAAUGAACCGUGAGGCUUAACCUU
rnacentral:rRNA from 1 species